GGCGAUGGUCGUUCCGCGCCGAUCGUCAAGCUCGGUGAUGCUUCCAUGGCCUCUCCUUUCACCGCCAAACAUGCCUCUGUCAGCCCCAUCCUCGAUAUUAUCCGCCAAGGCCGGAGCACACUAGUCACAACCCUUCAAAUGUUCAAGAUCCUCGGCCUCAAUUGCCUAGCCACAGCAUAUGUACUGAGUGUCAUGAAUUUGGACGGCGUCAAGCUCGGCGACAUCCA
rnacentral:misc_RNA from 1 species